rnacentral:rRNA from 1 species
UAAUACGGAGGGUGCAAGCGUUAUCCGGAUUUACUGGGUUUAAAGGGUGUGUAGGCGGACUUUUAAGUCCGUGGUGAAAUCUCCGGGCUCAACCCGGAAACUGCCAUGGAUACUAUUGGUCUUGAAUGUUGUGGAGGUGGGCGGAACGGGUCAUGUAGCGGUGAAAUGCUUAGAGAUGACCCGGAACACCGAUUGCGAAGGCAGCCCACUACGCAACUAUUGACGCUGAGGCACGAAAGCGUGGGGAUCAAACAGGAUUAGAUACCCUGGUAGUCCACGCCCUAAACGAUGAUUACUCGACAUCAGCGAUAUGACUGUUGGUGUCUGAGCGAAAGCAUUAAGUAAUCCACCUGGGAAGUACGAUCGCAAGAUUG